AUUGAACGCUGGCGGCAGGCCUGACACAUGCAAGUCGAACGAGUGGCGGACGGGUGAGUAAUGUCUGGGAAACUGCCCGAUGGAGGGGGGUAACUACUGGAAACGGUAGCUAAUACCGCAUACACUCGAAUGUGCCCAGAUGGGAUGAGCUAGUAGGUGGGGUAACGGCUCACCUAGGCGACGAUCCCUAGCUGGUCUGAGUGGAUGACCAGCAAAAAUGGAACUGAGACACGGUCCAGAAUCCUACGCGAGGCAGCAGUGGGGAUUAUUGCACAAGGGGCGCAAGCCCGAUGCAGCCAUGCCGCGUGUAUGAAGAAGGCCUUCGGGUUGUAAAGUACGUUCAGCGAGGAGGCGUUACUCGCAGAAUAAGCACCGGCUAACUCCGUGCCAGCAGCCGCGGUAAUAC
rnacentral:rRNA from 1 species